rnacentral:rRNA from 1 species
AUUGAACGCUGGCGGCAGGCCUAACACAUGCAAGUCGAGCGGGGUUUUCGGACCUAGCGGCGGACGGGUGAGUAAUGUGUAGGAAGCUACCCGAUAGAGGGGGAUACCAGUUGGAAACGACUGUUAAUACCGCAUAAUGUCUACGGACCAAAGUGUGGGACCUUCGGGCCACAUGCUAUCGGAUGCGCCUACGUGGGAUUAGCUGGUUGGUGAGGUAAUGGCUCACCAAGGCGACGAUCCCUAGCUGGUUUGAGAGGAUGAUCAGCCACACUGGAACUGAGACACGGUCCAGACUCCUACGGGAGGCAGCAGUGGGGAAUAUUGGACAAUGGGCGCAAGCCUGAUCCAGCCAUGCCGCGUGUGUGAAGAAGGCCUUCGGGUUGUAAAGCACUUUCAGUAGGGAGGAAGGGUUAAGUGUUAAUAGUGCUUAACUUUGACGUUACCUACAGAAGAAGCACCGGCUAACUCUGUGCCAGCAGCCGCGGUAAAAC